GCGCUCGUAGCUUAAUGGAUAGAGCACAUGGCUUCGGACCAUGCGGUUGGGAGUUCGACUCUCCCCGAGCGCG
rnacentral:tRNA from 1 species